GAGUUUGAUCCUGGCUCAGGACGAACGCUGGCGGCGCGCCUAACACAUGCAAGUCGAACGGAGUCAAGAGGAGCUUGCUUUCUCGAGCGAGUGGCGAACGGGUGAGUAACGCGUGAGGAACCUGCCUCAAAGAGGGGGACAACAGUUGGAAACGACUGCUAAUACCGCAUAAGCCCACGGUACCGCAUGGUACUGAGGGAAAAGGAUUUAUUCGCUUUAGGAUGGACUCGCGUCCGAUUAGCUAGUUGGUGAGGUAAUGGCCCACCAAGGCGACGAUCGGUAGCCGGACUGAGAGGUUGAACGGCCACAUUGGGACUGAGACACGGCCCAGACUCCUACGGGAGGCAGCAGUGGGGAAUAUUGGGCAAUGGGCGCAAGCCUGACCCAGCAACGCCGCGUGAGGGAAGAAGGUUUUCGGAUUGUAAACUCCUGUCGUUAGGGACGAUAAUGACGGUACCUAACAAGAAAGCACCGGCUAGCUACGUGCCAGCCGCCGCGGUAAUAC
rnacentral:rRNA from 1 species